UACGUAGGGCGCAAGCGUUGUCCGGAAUUAUUGGGCGUAAAGAGCUCGUAGGCGGUUUGUCGCGUCUGCUGUGAAAUCCCGAGGCUCAACCUCGGGCUUGCAGUGGGUACGGGCAGACUAGAGUGCGGUAGGGGAGACUGGAAUUCCUGGUGUAGCGGUGGAAUGCGCAGAUAUCAGGAGGAACACCGAUGGCGAAGGCAGGUCUCUGGGCCGCAACUGACGCUGGAGGAGCGA
rnacentral:rRNA from 1 species